UCGUCAGAGGCCAGUAAGGGGACCUAAGAGGAUGCUUAUAAGCAUCGUCGAAAGCCAAAAGGAAAGCGUCGUCUGAGCCCACUAUAAUUCCCAUCCCCCCCCCACCCCAACAAGUCAUACAAUCAUGAUUUCAGCCCCAUUUUUCUCUCCGAUCGAGCCCUACGAGCCUGAUUUCAACUCCUUUUUCUUCUUCAGCGCCGACUGACCGACCCCAAUCCCCCCACCACAAGCCUUAUAAUCCUGAUUUCAGCCUCCUUUUUCUCACCAGUUGAGCCCUACGAUCCUGAUUUCAGCCCUCUUUUUCUCUCCGGCGCCGACCGACUGACCCCAAUCGCAUGAUUGAGCUCUACCUCUGCCCGUCGCAGGUUUGUUUCUCCUCCUCCCCCAUCUUUGGUACUUCCUUCUCCUUAGCUUUAGCUCUUGCCCUCUCCUUCUCUUCUUCUUUUGCUAUUCUAUUUUUUUCAAGAGAGAAGAAUAUAUAUUAGCUCCAAUCUAAGUAUUCGAUUCUUAUAUUAUUUUUAGCUCUUCUACACCUGUUAUUUUAUUUGUGGUCAUGUCGUCAUGAACAAUAAUAGACUGGUCUUUUGCAUGAAGUUGUAGUUGUUUACGAGAAACAAUUUGGCUCACCACCAAUGGCAAGCAUAGCUACGCAGAGAUGAUGAUGCCAGCCUGAUGUUUUUUUCAUGAAUUUUUGUAGAUAUCUAAGGAAAAGAAGAUUGAUUGUUGGAAAAGAUUGGAGUUUCCAUUAAUAGUCUUUUUGAUUAAAAGAUGAUAUCUCCUAAUUGGAUCCAAUGUAGGAGCUAAGACCAAAUAAUAUAAUAAAGGUCGAAUAUAUAUUUAGCACAUAGUUUACGAUCGAUGCUUUGCAAGGCUAGAAGACAUGUUAUCUACGAUAUUAUCUGCAUCCUGAACUAUUAGAUUUCAAUUUGAGUGCCAAGGAUUUUCACUACAACACAAGUAAGAGAAAUUAAAAAAAAAAACCUUGAACACAAAGUACUCGACAUCUCAUUGUUUUCUUUGUUCGAUAAUGCUUAACAAAUCUACAGAUGGAAGAAUGAACUGCUAUUUUUUUUUGACACAACUCUGGUGGUUUAGAAAAUAAGAAAAAGGGGGGCAAAACUUUUAACCCCACUUAUAUAAGAUGACAACAAAGUUGAGCCAGCACUACUUCUAUGACAUGUCUUCUUGUAUUUUAUGAGUGGGAAUAUGCUAAAGCAACCUGUACUGAACAUUCUGCAAUCAUCUAACGUGGCUUGAGCACGUUGGACAGCAGGGCCUGCCGACUAUGUGAUAGGUCCCACCAAACUUUGAUUUGUCCAGUGCUGGAUGAGUCCUAGUAUGUGUGGUUGGCAUGACGGUCAACAAUGGCGUCUCGCCAUUGCUUUUGUUACCGACUUGUGGUCAAUACAAGACAACACACUUAAUUGAGUGCUUAUCCAGUUGUUCACAUACAAGUAUAUAUUAGAGCAGAAAAGUAACUGCGUUCCGACCAAAGAUAUUGUCCGCUUUGAGAAAGUAUAGUACAUAUCGCGCGACGUGUGUUGUGUGCAGCUCUUAAUGGGCAAUAUUCCCCUCAUGGCUUUAUCCUUCUUAAAAGGGCCUUCUGGAAGGAAAGGGGUGGCCCCUCCUUAUAAGGCACAAUCCUUUCUGCUAAUAUUCCAAUAUGGAACUAAAAGUCUCGGAUCCCCCAUUCGCCCCUCAACACUAUCACCCAGUGGGAAGGAUUCGUGCGGGGAAGUUUCGGCGGGUCCCUUCCUCUAGCGCUAUCUGUUAGAGCGGAAAAGUGACUGCGUCUCGACCAGAGGUAUUGUCUGCUUUGGGUAAGUACGUACGUAUCGCGCGAUAAGUGUCGUGUGCAGCUCUUAAUGAGCAAAUUCUUCUUACGGCUUUGUCCUUCUUAAAAGGGCCCUCUGAAAGGAAAGGGGUGGCCCCUCCUUAUAAGACACAAUCAUUUCCGCUACUCUUCCAAUGUGAGACUAAAAGUCCCGGGUCCCCCAUUCGCCCCUCAACACUGCGUAAUCUCGGUAAGCAUGGUCUCGACGAGUGUGACCUCGGUAAGCAUGGCCUCGGCAAUCAUGAUCUCGGUGAGUGUGAUUUCGGUAGGCAUGACUUCGGCAAGCAUGACCUCGACAGGCAUGACUUCGGCAGGCAUGACCUCGACAGGCAUGACUUCGGCAGGCAUGAUCUCGGCAGGCAUGGUCUCGGCUGAGCAAAGCCCGAUUGACCUUGAGGCUAAGGAAGACUUAGUUAGAAGCUGAGACCGACCCCGACUCCACCAACAGUCAAGCUGGUCUGCCUAAAGAAGGGGUCACCAAAUCCUCCAUAUUCGGGAUCAAAUCCCGCAGUCUCCGUCACAACGACUGUCAAUAUUUGAAUCUGAUGGGGGGAAAAGUUGAUCACCCAACACGUAUGAUUAAUGCACCAGAAUCCGACGACGAGUGUGACUUCAGUAAGCCUGGCCUCGGCAAGCAUGAUCUCGGUAGGCAUGACCUCGGCAGACAUGAUCUUGGCAUGCAUGAUCUCGGCAGGCAUAGUCUUGGCUAAACAAAGUUCGAUUGACCCCGAGACCAAGGAAGACCUAGUCAGAAGCUGAGACCGACCCUGACUCCACCAACAAUCAAGCCGGUCUGCCUAAAGAAGGGAUCACCAAAUUCUCCAUAUUCGGGAUCAAAUCCCGCAGUCUCCACCACAAUGGCUGUCAAUAUUUGAAUCCUUACAAUCUCAACUGAUUGCCAGCUAGCCUAAAAUUCCGUGCCAUCUAAGGUAAUUCAUUUAACCCAAGAUUUGCGCAAUCAUAUCCGAUUGCAAGUAACCGCUACACCCCCUCCUAUAAAGAGGGGGGACUCCAGGGAGAGAGGCAUCUUCUCCCCUAAUCAGAAAAGAUCUCUCCAUUAAAAUAUCUAAAGAUCCCUCUCUGACAUUAAGCAUCGGAGGGCCUUUGCCAGAUCUCCCGGCUUAGGCUUCUUGCAGAUCCGCUAGAGACAACCGUCCGCUACCGCACUGCAGCAGAAGCUCCUCCUCCUGGUUCGCGGUCACCCUCAGGUCUGAUUUCCAGCAACAGUUGGCGCUAGAGGAAGGGACCCGCUGAAACUUCCCCACACGAAUCCUUUCCGCUGGGGGUAGUGUUGGGGGGCGGAUGGGAGACCCGGAACUUUUAAUCCCACAUUAGAAGAGUAGCGGAAAGGAUUGUGCCUUAUAAGGAGGGGUCACCCCUUUUCUUUUAGAGGGCCCUUUUAAGAAGGAUAAAGCUGUGAGGGGAAUAUUGCCUAUUAAGAGCUGCACACGACAUGCGUCGCGCAAUACGUAUACACUUUUCCAAAGCGGACAAUACCUCUGAUUGGGACACAGUCACUUUUCCGCUCUAACAUUAUACAAUGCUCUCCUGCCAUGUAGGAUGAUAUUUAUCCCAAUUUAAUCCCUUUAGGAUAGUCUUUGCGACAACUCAUUGGGAUGAUUAUUUUUCUAGAUAUCUGCAAAGAUGGGGAGAUGAGGCAAAGCC
rnacentral:lncRNA from 1 species